rnacentral:rRNA from 1 species
GCUCCAGCUUGCUGGAGUGGAUCAGUGGCGAACGGGUGAGUAACACGUGAGCAACCUGCCCCGGACUCUGGGAUAAGCGCUGGAAACGGCGUCUAAUACCGGAUACGCACCAGAAUCGCAUGGUUACUGGUGGGAAAGAUUUUUUGGUUCGGGAUGGGCUCGCGGCCUAUCAGCUUGUUGGUGAGGUAACGGCUCACCAAGGCGUCGACGGGUAGCCGGCCUGAGAGGGUGACCGGCCACACUGGGACUGAGACACGGCCCAGACUCCUACGGGAGGCAGCAGUGGGGAAUAUUGCACAAUGGGCGGAAGCCUGAUGCAGCAACGCCGCGUGAGGGACGACGGCCUUCGGGUUGUAAACCUCUUUUAGCAGGGAAGAAGCGAAAGUGACGGUACCUGCAGAAAAAGCGCCGGCUAACUACGUGCCAGCAGCCGCGGUAAUACGUAGGGCGCAAGCGUUAUCCGGAAUUAUUGGGCGUAAAGAGCUCGUAGGCGGUCUGUCGCGUCUGCUGUGAAAACCCGAGGCUCAACCUCGGGCCUGCAGUGGGUACGGGCAGACUAGAGUGCGGUAGGGGAGAUUGGAAUUCCUGGUGUAGCGGUGGAAUGCGCAGAUAUCAGGAGGAACACCGAUGGCGAAGGCAGAUCUCUGGGCCGUAACUGACGCUGAGGAGCGAAAGGGUGGGGAGCAAACAGGCUUAGAUACCCUGGUAGU